AGAGUUUGAUCCUGGCUCAGAACGAACGCUGGCGGCGUGGAUUAGGCAUGCAAGUCGAACGAUCUUUUUCCGGGUAGCAAUAUUUGGAGAAAGAGAGUGGCGGACGGGUGAGUAACACGUGGGCAAGCUGCCCUGAAGUUCGGAAUAGCCCCGGGAAACCGGGGGUAAUACCGAAUGUGACCGUCUCCCGCAUGGGAGAUCACUUAAAGGUGGGGAUCCGCAAGGACCUGUCGCUUCAGGAUGUGCCCGCGUCCCAUCAGCUAGUUGGUGAGGUAAUGGCCCACCAAGGCUAAGACGGGUAGCUGGUCUGAGAGGAUGGUCAGCCACACUGGGACUGAGACACUGCCCAGACUCCUACGGGAGGCUGCAGUCGAGAAUCAUUGUCAAUGCGCGAAAGCGUGAACAUGCGACGCCGCGUGGAGGAUGAAGGCCUUCGGGUUGUAAACUCCUGUCAUGGGGGAAAAGCGGUUCGGGCGUUAAUACCGCUCGGGCUCGAUGGUACCUCAGGAGGAAGCAACGGCUAACUCUGUGCCAGCAGCCGCGGUAAUACAGAGGUUGCGAGCGUUGUUCGGAUUUACUGGGCGUAAAGGGUGCGUAGGCGGCCUUGCAUGUCGGAUGUGAAAGCUCACGGCUUACCCGUGGAACGGCAUCCGAAACUGCAGAGCUAGAGUACAGGAGAGGAGAGUGGAAUUCUCGGUGUAGCGGUGAAAUGCGUAGAUACCGAGAGGAACACCGGUGGCGAAAGCGGCUCUCUGGACUGUUACUGACGCUGAGGCACGAAAGCCAGGGUAGCAAAAAGG
rnacentral:rRNA from 1 species